GUCUACGGAUGUCGGAUAUUUUCCUGCUGCUCAGCAUGCCCGCCAUCGCGGCGCGCGUGGGCAGGGAGGCACCGCAGGUGCGGUUGGAGGUGGUCCAUCUCUCGCCCGUGCAGACCGUCGCGGCGCUUGAGACCGAUGCGAUCGACAUAGCCCUCAGUACGGGCUUAUCAGCGGAAAAAGCCGGCAUCCCGGCCACGGCGAUUAUCACGGACCGGUUUGUGCAGACGGCACAGACUAUGGCGGACGUCAGCGGCAUGC
rnacentral:misc_RNA from 1 species